CGCUAUCAAACAAUCUAGCAGAUCCGGGCUGGUACCGAGGCGUGCGUGGCCCGCGCCACGUACUACUCUGAGCGCCUCUCUCGAUUUUUCUCUUUCCCAUGGAUGGAUCCGUGGAGUCCAUCGAAAGAUCCACCUCCCGUUCUCCUCCAUCGGCCGCCCCUUCUCCUCGGUCGCUGCUACCAUGAGAUUUGCCGCUCCUGAGUUCUCCAUGGCCACCUUCUCCGUGCUCGGCAGUCGUGGUGUUGGUCCAGUCCUCUGCCGUCACAAUCGUGAACAAGGCUGUUCGUUCCCCGCCGCCUGUUGCCAUGGUAGGUCGCCGGAUCGUCCCAGCCGGCGAUGUGCUUUCCUGGCUGCCUCUCCUUCCGGUAUUUAUCUGGGCGGCGCCGCUGCUGCUCCGUGUGGCCAGCGGGGCAGGCCGCCGAGCGCCUCCGUUUCUCCUGCAGGUCUGGAGGCUUUACCUUUUGCUCCGUGGCUGCAACCUCCGCCCUUCGAACUGGUCUGCAGGUCAACGAUGCUGUUCUUUCUUCGCGUGGCCGGCCUGAUAGUCCUUCGGGUCAUGUCUCUAGAGGACAUGCUUCUGUCUCGGCCUCUCCUUCUGACUUGCGGAUGGACGAUGCCGAUAUUGCAGCAGAGAAUAACAACAGCUGUAGCCGCCAAGGGGGAGAAGAGAAGGCAACUAACAAGCGUCCGUGGUAGCCUGAAGAACAAGAUCCUGCUCCGGCUGACAUCCAAAGGUGGUUCCUUACCAUUUAUAUGCUCCCAAUAUGACAGCAUGAUGACUUCUUCAUGGAUGCAUGGUCGGUGUGAGUGGACAGGUGAACAUGGGCUGGUCGCCACCAUGACAUUGAAAGGAGAUCUGUGUCGUGGCGACAUCAGCUGGCUGACCUGUGCUUAGCUGGUGGACUGAUCAGCCCCGUAGCUGUUAGCUGUUCUAUUGGCUCACAAGAAUGAAUGGCCAUUGUCAGAAACUUGAAAUCAAGUAGUAUCACGGUCAAAAGAAAAUUACAAGAACCUGUGAAAAGAAGUUUACAAAGGAAUCUUCAGGAGGCUCACAUGUUGGAACAAUGGGCUUACAAGAUCAAGAACGUACGUAAAUGAACCAAAAUAAGUGGGAAUUCUUGUAUGCUUGAACUUGGUGGUUUCUCUAAGGUCUUAAGCUAGCAAUACAACUUUUAAGGAAAAUAAGGGAUGCCCUACAUGCCCAUGUAGGUGCCAAUGUUCAGCUGAUUACCUGUGCAUACAAUGAUAUGUUAGCCUUCACAUGCUUUACAUGUUCAUAUUCAAGGAGGCGAGCACAAUCUUCCUUUUGUCAUCUCAAUGGUGGCAGAUGCAGUAUCCUUUUUGUUCUUUUUAGGGAAUUGGUCUCGAUCUGAAGGGAAAAAAUAUAUACACAACUAUUCAGAAAGAUGAUACCUGCAGCUGAAUCUCUGAGCUUUGGUUGACUCCCAAAAUAUCUGUUGUCAUUGUUAGGAUCAAGUAUUAACUGUGGCUUCAAAAUGAUGUACUGAAUGCAGUUUAGAUCGCUCCAUUAUAAGAGCUUUUGUGUUAUCAGUUGGUCUUGCGUUAUGGUACCUUCAGUAGUCUCUAUCAUGUGGCAUAGGUUGCCCCGUACAGUUGAAAUCAAUGUACUGAAAGUAGUCCUUGGUCUUAUGUUGCUCUAUACAUUGGGAAUUGAUGUACUGAAAGUAGGCAUUGGUCUUAUGUUGCUCUAUGCAUUGGGAAUUGAUGUACUGAAAGUAGUAAUUGGUCUUAUGUAUCUUUUUAUUACUUCUGAUCAUUGGGACCGAUUCAC